CUUACCACUCCCAACUCCCAGUGGGCCCUGGUCGCACCUGUUCAUGGAUUUUGUGACUGGCCUACCCGUCUCAGAAGGUAACAGUGUCAUUUUAGUUAUUGUUGACAGGUUCUCUAAGGCCUGCAGACUAAUUUCUUUACCUAAGUUGCCAUCUGCACUUGAGACUGCUAAGCAUGUUUUUCUCCAUGUGUUCCGAGUUUUUGGUCUGCCGCAGGACAUCGUCUCGGACAGAGGCCCCCAGUUUUCCUCCUGUGUAUGGCAAGCCAUCUGCCGACUCAUAGGGGCCACUGCCAGCCUGUCCUCUGGGUUCCAUCCGCAGUCCAAUGGCCAGACAGAGAGGGUAAACCAGGAGAUAGAGGCCACCCUUCGGAGCUUGGUUGCUGACAACCCUUCAUCUUGGAGCGCCAAGUUGCCGUGGGCGGAAGCAGGAGAGUGAAGCAGGGGUGCCGUCUGCUCUGCAUUUCGUGCGGCGGUGCAGACAAACCUGGAAAAGGGUUCGUCAGGCACUGCUUCGCACUGCCAAACGGAACCAGGUGUAAGCCAACUGUCACCGGACACCGGCUCCUAUCUUCCGCCCGGGACAGAAGGUCUGGCUGUCCGCCAAGGAUCUACCAUUACGGGUGGAGUCCCGUAAGCUUGCCCCACGCUACAUUGACCCUUUCAAGAUUACCCACCGGGUUAAUCCAGUCGCCUACAGACUCCAACUGCCCCGGUCCAUGAAAGUCCACCCCACUUGUUUCACGUUUGAGACACAUGCUUACCUCCCCUUUUGCCCCUGCCCUCAAGCCCCCUCCUCUUCCCCGGACGGUUGAUGGUGGACCAGUCUACACGGUGAAUCGGCUGCUGGACUCCCGUCGGGUCCAGAGGUCGGUCCAGUACUUGGUGGAUUGGGAAGGCUGAAGAACGUUCAUGGGUCCCUUCUCUGAAUAUUGUCGACAAGACCCUGAUCAGAGACUUUCACCAACAGCAUCCUGAUCGUCCUGUGAACGCCAGGAGGCGUUCCUAGAGGGGGAGAUUCUGUCAUAAUGUUGGACUAUUGUGUCAUAGACCACUAGAUGGCGCCAAUUCUGUCUUUCUGUUCUCUGUGUUGUUUCCACCUAAUGUCGAUUGUUAAGCAGACUCACCUGGCCCUGUUAAUUAGUCAUGUGAUUGGUUCAGCCGUGUUUGUCUCACAGUACUUAAGCCUGGUUCUUUCACUCUGUCUCUGUUGAGACCAUGUGAGUAGACCUUGGUCUUGAACCCUGCGUUUUGAAUUUCUUUGACCCUGGACUCAUACUCCGAGUUUUGGAUUAACCUUUGGAUUUACUUUGAUUGUGUUUUUGCCCUUUUGGAUUGUUGGACUGAGUUUUCGUGUUUUUGCCAUUUUUGGAUUACUUUGACUUUGUGUUUUGUGUUUUGGAUCUUCUGAGCUUUUUGGAACUUUAUUAAUGAGGAAUAAAUACCUUACACUUAUCCUGUUUUUGCUUCGCACUUGAGUCACCCUAGUUUCCUGUGUACCAAGCCGUGACAGCUCGGGGGCAGGACUUAUUCUUCAGAGGUCUAUGGUCAAGUGAUUGACAGCGCCUGGUCUAUUGAUUGACAGCACCUGGUGUCACAAAGCACCCACUCUAGCAUCUGCUGGUGGGAGUUUUAGAACUUUGUCAACGGAAGUGCUUAAAACCAGGAUAUGAGAUUCACCAUGAGUCUGCACAUGCUCAUUUGCAUAAAAGAAGCUGUCCCCAAGACAAAGAUGAAGAGGGGAAUUGCUUGCAAUCUUCAGUCAGCAUAUGCACGCACAACCACACACACACCAAAAACGAAUGCACACCUACUACACAUGCACACACAUGUGCACGCACUCGCACACACAGAUAUGCAUACAUGCAUAAAUAUUCACAAACACACACAGAAUUGCUCCCAUACACAGAAGGGCAAUAACAA
ensembl:lncRNA